rnacentral:rRNA from 1 species
UGGGGAAUAUUGCACAAUGGGCGCAAGCCUGAUGCAGCCAUGCCGCGUGUAUGAAGAAGGCCUUCGGGUUGUAAAGUACUUUUAUCGGGGAGGAAGGGAUUAAAGUUAAUACCUUUGCUCAUUGACGUUACCCGCAGAAGAAGCACCGCCUAACUCCGUGCCAGCAGCCGCGGUAAUACGGAGGGUGCAAGCGUUAAUCGGAAUUACUGGGCGUAAAGCGCACGCAGGCGGUUUGUUAAGUCAGAUGUGAAAUCCUCGGGCUCAACCUGGGAACUGCAGUUGAUACUGGCAAGCUUGAGUAUCGUAGAGGGGGGUGGAAUUCCAGGUGUAGCGGUGAAAUGCGUAGAGAUCUGGAGGAAUACCGGUGGCGAAGGCGGCCCACUGGACGAAGACUGACGCUCAGGUGCGAAAGCGUGGGGAGCAAACAGG